UCAACUAACUCAAUAAACACUGUACACGUUGAAAGAAAGGAAAAAGCGACCAAGCCAGCAUUUUUUAAGUUAACAGCAUGCAUUAUAUUCUUCUUGUCUUUAACCAUGUGUGUAUAUCAAACGUACCUUCUUGUCCUCCACUACCUAAGUGGUCCCAUUGAAACACAGAUAAAAGUAACGAUGCACACCACUUUACGGUUUCCUGCAGUAACAAUAUGCAACAUUAAUCCAGUGAGAAGAUCACGAUGGGAAAAAAGAAAGAAAAGCGAAAGAGAAAUGUCGGAUUCAACGCAGUGGAUUCAAGAACCACAUAAACGCUAUCGUCCAGCCAGUAUCGAUAAUUUUACACACAGAAUAAAACGAAA